AAACCACAGAAAAUUUAUGAGCCAGUCCAAAAGCUAGGAUUUGUGAAUUUCUACUGCAGAGUGGGAGAUGCAUCUGAUUUAUCUUGUUUGCUUCACUGGGGUUCAGUAUAGUAAAACCUUAAUAAAUAGUGAAUUCCAUUAACUAUUUCCUUCAAGUAUGUUUCACAAUCCUACACCAACAAUAUCAUCAUUCCUGCAGGUAACACUACCCUCUCUUAUCUACCAACACCCAAAUGUAAGGUUGUUCUCAAAACCUGUAACUGCAUAUUUAAUAAGGUGACUUUCAUUGCUAAAAAAUCUACAUGUUGUAUGUAUCAAAAAAUCUACAAAUGCAGACUAAUAUUUAUACGUUUUCCUUUGAUGUAUUUGAAUAAACAUCUUAUUUAACUACAGUCUAUGUGUCUAUGCUAUAAAUUAAAAGUUUAGCCUGGAGACUGGAGUCGAAGUCCGUGAGUCAGCCAUAAUGGCAGAUGAAGAAAUUAAUGAAGACUAUCCAGUAGAAAUUCACGAGUAUUUGUCAGCCUUUGAGAAUUCCAUUGGUGCUGUGGAUGAGAUGCUGAACACCAUGAUGUCUGUUUCUAGAAAUGAGUUGUUGCAGAAGUUGGACCCACCUGAACAAUCAAAAGUGGAUUUGGUUUCUGCAUACACAUUAAAUUCAAUAUUUUGGGUUUAUUUGGCAACUCAAGGAACAUCCAGUAAAGCAGGAAUUGGAAAGAAUCAGAGUAUAUAUGAACAGAGUCAAGGAAAUAACAGACACGAAAAAGGCUGGCAAGCUGGACAAUGGCGCAGCUUUAAGGUUUGUAAAAAAUGCUCUCUGGGAACCAAAACCGAAAAUCGCAUCAAAAGUUGCCAAUAAAGGAAAAAGUAAAAGUUAACUUUUUGAUUUUGAUGUAUGCAUAUUCAAAAAGUACAUCAUUUGUUUCCACAAAAGAAUUCUGUGACAGUGCAAGGUUUAAAUGUGUUUCUUAUUGAAUUUAUAUAUAUAUAUAUUUACAGUAAAUUUGUAAAGCUGAAUACUUUCCAAAGAUUGUUAUCUUUAUUGAUUUGCACUAUGAGGAUUUAAACACUGUGAUAUAUUUUAUAUUUAUAAUUUGCCAUCUCUUUUGAUGAGACUCUUAUUUCUUUAUGUAGGUCAAUCUUGCAAGUACCAUUUUAUAAGCAACCGUGAAAUUUAAGUAAAAUGUUCUUCGUAAACAUUUGUACUAAUUUAAAUGAAUAAUGACCUUAUGAAGUAUGCUUUCUGUAGACUGAAAUUAUAGGUAUAUCUAUUUUCACUAUAUGACAUUAAGAAAGCAUGAAUGACCUAAAUGUUCAUUGUUUUCUGUAUAGUUACUUUAUAAUGUUUUCAUGAUCUUAGGAAUUACUGCUUUGUUGAUAUUCAGAGUGUGAAACUAAAACUUUAUAGCUGUACUUUAAUUCUUGGCAUGUUGCCUUAUGUCCCAUUUAAAAUAAAAUACAUUCUCAUUAACUUUAGAUGGGAAAUAAGGUGUAUGUUGAUGGAUAAAUUUUGGCAUGAUGACUAUACUCUCUCAAUAAAGGUUGAAAAGUGUU